rnacentral:rRNA from 1 species
GAUCCCAUCAAAACUCCGCGGUUAAGCGUGCUUGGGCUAGAGUAGUACUAGGAUGGGUGACCACCGGGGAAGUCCUAGUGUUGCACCCU